CCUACGGGAGGCAGCAGUAGGGAAUAUUGCUCAAUGGGGGAAACCCUGAAGCAGCAACGCCGCGUGGAGGAUGAAGGUUUUCGGAUUGUAAACUCCUUUUGUUAGAGAAGAUAAUGACGGUAUCUAACGAAUAAGCACCGGCUAACUCCGUGCCAGCAGCCGCGGUAAUAUGGCGGGUGCAAGCGUUACUCGGAAUCACUGGGCGUAAAGGGAGCGUAGGCGGGAGCGCAAGUCAGAUGUUAAAUCCUAUGGCUUAACCAUAGAACUGCAUUUGAAACUGUUAUUCUAGAGUAUGGGAGAGGUAGGUGGAAUUCUUGGUGUAGAGGUGAAAUCCGUAGAGAUCAAGAGGAAUACUCAUUGCGAAGGCGACCUGCUAGAACAUAACUGACGCGGAUGCGCGAAAGCGUGGGGAGCAAACAGGAUUAGAUACCCCGGUAGUC
rnacentral:rRNA from 1 species